CAACGCAACCGAACUCGGAGACGUCGGCAGGAGCCCUGGGAAGAGUUCUCUUUUCUUGUUAACGGCCUUGUGACCAUGGAAUCUGUUUGCCAGGAGAUAUGGUCCGAUGGCCGGUAAAGCACCACACUUCUUGUGGUGUCCGGAGCGCUCCUGAAGGCCCUUGAAAAUCCGAGGGAGAGAUUGAUUUUCGCGUCCGUUCGUACUCAUAACCGCAGCAGGUCUCCGAGGUGAGCAGCCUCUGGUCGAUAGAACAAUGUAGGUAAGGGAAGUCGGCAAAA
rnacentral:rRNA from 1 species